AAACCAAACCAAAACAUAUUACUACUAUUCUACUAGUUACAUUCCCCAAUCAGUACACACUAAAACUAAACACAAAAUACAAACCAAUACUAUAUAUAUAUAAUAUGUAAACACAAAUACUAGUAUAACUUUAGUACAUAAUAUUCAACACAAUAAUGAAAAUGGAAGUUCAUUUCCUUCUUGAAUAAUACCAUAUUCUUCAUCAACUUCCAAAUUCAACCACUUCAAUUCUUCUUCUUCUUUUUC
rnacentral:lncRNA from 1 species